GUAGAUUGUUGCCAGCACAGAGG
rnacentral:piRNA from 1 species